rnacentral:rRNA from 1 species
GGAUUAGAUACCCUGGUAGUCCUAGCCGUAAACGAUGGGCACUAAGCAGAGGGCCUCCCAAGGGUUCUCUGCCGUAGCUAAUGUGUUAAGUGCCCCGCCUGGGGAGUAUGGUCGCAAGGCUAAAACUCAAAGGAAUUGACGGGGGCUCACACAAGCGGUGGAGCAUGUUGUUUAAUUCGAUGCAACGCGAAGAACCUUACCUGGGCUUGACAUCUACGUGGUACCAAUCCGAAAGGGGCGGGACCUUCUUUGAAGGAGCGUAGACAGGUAUUGCAUGGCUGUCGUCAGCUCGUGCCG